AACGAACGCUGGCGGCAGGCUUAACACAUGCAAGUCGAACGCCCCGAAAGGGGAGUGGCAGACGGGUGAGUAACGCGUGGGAAUCUACCCAUCUCUGCGGAAUAGCUCCGGGAAACUGGAAUUAAUACCGCAUACGCCCUACGGGGGAAAGAUUUAUCGGGGAUGGAUGAGCCCGCGUUGGAUUAGCUAGUUGGUGGGGUAAAGGACUACCAAGGCGACGAUCCAUAGCUGGUCUGAGAGGAUGAUCAGCCACAUUGGGACUGAGACACGGCCCAAACUCCUACGGGAGGCAUCAGUGGGGAAUAUUGGACAAUGGGCGCAAGCCUGAUCCAGCCAUGCCGCGGUAGUGAUGAAGGCCUUAGGGUUGUAAAGCUCUUUCACCGGUGAAGAUAAUGACGGUAACCGGAGAAGAAGCCCCGGCUAACUUCGUGCCAGCAGCCGCCGUAA
rnacentral:rRNA from 1 species